rnacentral:misc_RNA from 1 species
GGCGUCGAAGCGUUGGCACUAACAGAAGCACCCGAAAUGGACUUGAACCCAGUCUCCGGCAAUCCGGGUCGGGUGUCGGAAGCGGUUCCGGCCCGGGAAGGAGAGAAACGCAGGGAGUGAGAAGGAGAGACGUAGCGAUCUGAGGGAGUGGGAGAGAUAAAGCGGUUAGAGGAUCGGACGUAGCAGAAAGAGUGACCUAGGGUUUCAUCCAACGGCUCAGAGGCCGUGAAGAUCAGGUCCGGUUCUUCGUUUGGCGUCGGAUUAGUCCCUGGUUUGAAGCAAGGGAAGAGGGAGGAGAGUCCACUUCCCAUCACAUUUGAUUCGCCACCUUCUGUUUGGACUCCAAGAAAAAAUAAAAUAUAACUUUUCUUCUCUUUUGAAAUGAAGUUCCGGCAAAGUUUUCA